rnacentral:rRNA from 1 species
GUGCCAGCAGCCGCGGUAAUACGUAGGGUGCAAGCGUUGUCCGGAAUUAUUGGGCGUAAAGAGCUCGUAGGCGGUUUGUCGCGUCUGCUGUGAAAACUGGAGGCUCAACCUCCAGCCUGCAGUGGGUACGGGCAGACUAGAGUGCGGUAGGGGAGAUUGGAAUUCCUGGUGUAGCGGUGGAAUGCGCAGAUAUCAGGAGGAACACCGAUGGCGAAGGCAGAUCUCUGGGCCGUAACUGACGCUGAGGAGCGAAAGCGUGGGGAGCGAACAGGAUUAGAAACCCCGGUAGUCC